UUGAACGCUGGCGGCAUGCCUUACACAUGCAAGUCGAACGGCAGCACGGGUGCUUGCACCUGGUGGCGAGUGGCGAACGGGUGAGUAAUACAUCGGAACAUGUCCUGUAGUGGGGGAUAGCCCGGCGAAAGCCGGAUUAAUACCGCAUACGAUCUACGGAUGAAAGCGGGGGACCUUCGGGCCUCGCGCUAUAGGGUUGGCCGAUGGCUGAUUAGCUAGUUGGUGGGGUAAAGGCCUACCAAGGCGACGAUCAGUAGCUGGUCUGAGAGGACGACCAGCCACACUGGGACUGAGACACGGCCCAGACUCCUACGGGAGGCAGCAGUGGGGAAUUUUGGACAAUGGGCGAAAGCCUGAUCCAGCAAUGCCGCGUGUGUGAAGAAGGCCUUCGGGUUGUAAAGCACUUUUGUCCGGAAAGAAAUCCUUGGCUCUAAUACAGUCGGGGGAUGACGGUACCGGAAGAAUAAGCACCGGCUAACUACGUGCCAGCAGCCGCGGUAAUACGUAGGGUGCGAGCGUUAAUCGGAAUUACUGGGCGUAAAGCGUGCGCAGGCGGUUUGCUAAGACCGAUGUGAAAUCCCCGGGCUCAACCUGGGAACUGCAUUGGUGACUGGCAGGCUAGAGUAUGGCAGAGGGGGGUAGAAUUCCACGUGUAGCAGUGAAAUGCGUAGAGAUGUGGAGGAAUACCGAUGGCGAAGGCAGCCCCCUGGGCCAAUACUGACGCUCAUGCACGAAAGCGUGGGGGAGCAAACAGGAUUAGAUACCCUGGUAGUCCACGCCCUAAACGAUGUCAACUAGUUGUUGGGGAUUCAUUUCCUUAGUAACGUAGCUAACGCGUGAAGUUGACCGCCUGGGGAGUACGGUCGCAAGAUUAAAACUCAAAGGAAUUGACGGGGACCCGCACAAGCGGUGGAUGAUGUGGAUUAAUUCGAUGCAACGCGAAAAACCUUACCUACCCUUGACAUGGUCGGAAUCCCGCUGAGAGGUGGGAGUGCUCGAAAGAGAACCGGCGCACAGGUGCUGCAUGGCUGUCGUCAGCUCGUGUCGUGAGAUGUUGGGUUAAGUCCCGCAACGAGCGCAACCCUUGUCCUUAGUUGCUACGCAAGAGCACUCUAAGGAGACUGCCGGUGACAAACCGGAGGAAGGUGGGGAUGACGUCAAGUCCUCAUGGCCCUUAUGGGUAGGGCUUCACACGUCAUACAAUGGUCGGAACAGAGGGUUGCCAACCCGCGAGGGGGAGCUAAUCCCAGAAAACCGAUCGUAGUCCGGAUUGCACUCUGCAACUCGAGUGCAUGAAGCUGGAAUCGCUAGUAAUCGCGGAUCAGCAUGCCGCGGUGAAUACGUUCCCGGGUCUUGUACACACUGCCC
rnacentral:rRNA from 1 species